UGCAUUAGGAAAAGCUAACAGAGCAAAAUGUUAGCUUGUCUUUGAUAAAGCUGACAUGUUGGAUUUGUGAGCGUUUUGUUUGUUAGCAAGGGUGUUUUGCUUUAUGGUCUGGCUUUCUUUUUAAGGGAAAAAAAUGCUAAAAAUUUUCAGGAUUUCUUCUCGUGCCAAUGUUCUUAAUGUAUAUUCUAAUUUCCUUUCAUCUUAGCCUUAUUUCCUUUCUCUUUUUGCAGGGAGGACUGUUCGUGCAGGUGUUCUGAGUAAAUGAAUCUAUCUUGGGGCCUGAGUUAAAAUUAAGAAAGAGACAACCGAGGACAUGCCUCAGCGAGUAGUCUUGUCACACAACCGUGGUGACCUAAGUUUGAAUCUCUGGAACCCGCAUGAAAGCUGGACACAGAAACCUGCCUGCCUGUAACCCCAGCACUCCAGCACUUCUGUGGACAAAUGCCAGAGGCUGUACUGGGCUCUGCCACUCUUCCCAGAUGUCUUCCAUCAGCCCUUGUCUGCUGCCCUAGGCCUCGUUAGUUUGGCUCUUGGGCUUAUGUUCCUAGAAGGAAGGCUGGUUUUCCCCUGGAUUGUCAAGGUCUGGGCCAGGGUGUACCCGGAGGGUGUGCCAGAUAGAUACUUGGGCACAAGGACAUGGCUGCCUUGUUGGCUGUGGAACUUCUACGGCUGGGCUUGGAAGCAGAGACAAAGAUUCAACAUACAGGAGAGCUUACCACUGCCCUAUUCCAGAAGAACAAGGGAGACCUCAGAAUACAUGACCCUUCCUGGACACCCUGCUGGCUGGAGGUGCUUCAACAGUAAUACUCCAGGCUAGAAGAACCUAACGCAUGAGCCUACCUCUGGGGGAAAAUGGUCUGACUGUGGAGACUAGAGCAUGGUUUAGGCUUUCCAAAUGGCACUCCUGGCCAUAGGCCCUGACUGUUAAGAAAGUUUUCCAUAGAGAAGAAUGUUCAUAUAAAUGAAUGUGAAAAUCAGCAAUGAGUGGCCAGCUGUGGCUGAUCUGGCAGCAUGACAUUUUUCUUGGAAACUGAAAUGUUAUAAUAACAUAGAAGCUCCCGUCAAGAUAUCCAUGAGCGCAACGUGGUCAUUAUCCUACAUUAAGUUAUGUUCUUUGGACUGUUUACUCUGGGUCAUGGAGCUACACACCCGGAAAAGAGAAUGUCUGCUAAAGGGAUGUCCAAGUCAUGGCCAGGAGCUACUUCCCUGUCUCUUUGUUUCCACAGCCUACCUGUGUUUUAGAUUAACUCUCAUACCCUUAAAUCAUGUACUUUAGAGUCUCUGUUGCUCAAUAUACCUUUUGAACCAGAGAUGGGCUACCGAGAUGACAGAAAGAAGUAGGGAUCAGAAGAGGUGGGGGAACAGAACCAGCCAUGCCUGAUGCUUGCCCAUGCAGGGAGUGACUUCAAUUUUUAAAAAAUGUAGUUUACAUUCUUGUGGUAAGAACAUUUUAUAUGAGAGCUUCUCUCUUAAUAUUUAAGGGAAUGACAAAGUUUUGUAGAUUGUGUCUUUUGGGUAUAACAGUGUCUCCCUGCAGUGAUUUGAAUAUAAAAUGUCCCCCA